rnacentral:tRNA from 2 species
CGUUAGCUCAGUAGGUAGAGCAUUUGACUUUUAAUCAAAGGGUCUUGGGUUCGAAUCCCA